UGAUGUUAUUCUCUGAUAUUUUUGUCACCAAUCUAAAAAUAUUAAAGAUCCUGAAUAGCUGUUGCAGGUAUUUAUGUUUUUUCUUUAAUGUAAUACUUCUAAAUAUAAAGCAAUUCAUUUUUUUAAAUUUUUUUUUUUUUGGUACCGGGGAUUGAACUCAGGUCUUUGCGCUUGCGCCACAGGCAGCAAAACCACUAAACUAAAUCCCGGGCCCAAGUAAUUCAUUUUAACUUCCCUCUUUUCCAGAUUGUGUUGGAAGACACACCUUCUAAACUCUUCUCAAGUCAUAAUAAAAUGAACUAGUUAAUAAAUCUGUGUACAGAUUUUCAAAACUCUUAUUGAUCCAUUGUGCUUUCAUGUUAAAGAAAGAAUUGAAACAUCAACUAUAAAACAAGAUAACUUCAGCUCCAGGGCUGAGGAGGCCAGCCAGCUGCUGGGUAGUUUUGACAUCAAAAGAAUUUCAAAACCUUCUCUCUGUGGAAGAGGAGUUAUAUGCCUACACAGGGACAUUGACAUGAAGGUACUAACCAGCGUGGAAUUCAUGGAACUCUGUAGGUCCUGUGGGUCUAAAACAUAACUUAAGUUAUUUUCACAGAAGUGCUGUCACAAGCCCCAGAGUGUGGCUCUACAUUGACCCAGUGGUCCGAGUGGAGGUAUUUUUUUGUCCUUGCAGAGAUGUACAAGAAAGAUGAGAAAGUAUGUAGAUCUCACAGCUACAUCCUGAUACAUAUAUUUUUAAUACUGUGGAUGUGAAUAAAUUCUUCUGAGGCUAUCAGUGACCAAUAUUUUAGCACUGGCAACUGAGCUCUGCAGUUAAAUCACAUAAAGUUAUACUCAAUCAGUACAGAUCAAAAUAUUUGGUUAAUUAUCUACCUAAGUUCACUUUAAACCCUUUCAGAUAAAAACCAAUUCAUUCUUUUGAGAAAGCACAGGAAUGUGAAAAGAUGGUUAUCAAGGGCUUUCCUGUUACAGGCUGCUUGCCUGUUGCAGAGGGGUGGGAUGAGAAGAACAGAUGUGGACCCAGAGUGGCUCACUGCUGCUUCCUGUGACUCCAUUUUCCAUGACUCUUCAGCCUUUUCAAGGGCCAUGAGGUUAAGCCGACUGUAGCUUUGACCUUCUUUGUCAGGUUGUCAGAACAAGAACCUUCAUUAUAAAGAAUUGCACUUAUGGGAUAGAGGGCCAAAAAUCCUGGCUUCCCAACCACAGAGAUCACUUGAAUGGCAUCCAUUUCUCAACUGCACUGAAGUCAUAGCCAGUUAUUGAAAUCAAACUUCAUGAAGACCAUGACCUUUCACUCUUGUCAGAGAGAAACAUGUAUUUGGAAUGUGGAUGUGACUCACAGUAGCUGUGCCUGGAGAAAGCAAAAAUUCAUAUGUGCAUUCACUCACUUCACAGACCUACAGCAAGGUGUGUACAGGAGCUCCAAAGUAGCUAUAGAAGUAGCCUGAUUCAGUACAAUUGCAUAUGAAAAACCAGAUUUGGAAGUUUUGGAGGAGGUCAAAAGUAUGGAUGAUGAAUAUGAUGAUGACUUUGAUGUUGGUCAUAUGAACCAAAGUUUCUAUGACAAUGAAAUGGAGGAAAAUCAACCAAUACAGACACAGGGAAUGCAGAUAUCCUUGAUUCAGAUGAUGAAGAGAGCAGCAAUAACACAAAUUGACCAGCAUAGAAAUUGAAUGCAGGAACAAAACAGACAUUCCAAAUGAAAUGUUGCAAUUUCAAAACAGAGAAUCAAUCAUUGGAUUUCAGAAAGACAUAACACUGGCCUUGUAUAUGGCAAAGAAAACAAACUGGUUCUGCUCAUGUCAAUAUUGCACCAUGAUGGAAAUAUUUAUAGGAAAACCUUGACAAAAUGAAAGCCUGAGAUGUGAACUUUCUACAACAAAACCAAAAGUGGAGUAGAUGUUGUUGAUGACUUAUUUGGCAACUAUAAUGUCACUUGAAACACAAAGCAUUGGCCAAUGGUGGUGUUUUACUUGAUCUUAAAUGUGUGUGGCAUAAAUAACUUGAUACUUUAUAAAGAAAAUAACAAGUGCAAAAUACCACAGAGAAAUUUUCUUAGAGGAUUGGGACUGGAAUUCAGAAGAGAUCAUUUACAGCAGAGGAAAAACAAAAUAUUUCUGCCCAAGGAGACUAUGCAAAAAAAUUUGUGGAGCACAUUCGUUAGCUGACAGGUAAAUGGGCAGGUGCAGCAUCACAAAGACCUACUAUGACAAUAUGAAAACCAAAAGGAUAUCAACUGUGCCCUACAAAAACGGACAGGAAAACAAAACAUACAUGCUACCUGUAAGCGAUACUUGUGUAUAGCACACAGAGUUUUCAUGUGUGAAGAUUGCCUUGGGUGUAACAUUUGAAGCAAAGAUUAUUUCUGUGGUAGACUUUUAUUUGUAUUUACAUUGUAUUUCACAUAGGUUUUUAUUUUUAGUGUUAUCUUUUAAGUUUUGUAAGCAAGUAAACAGCUAAUGUGAAAUGUUGAUGUCUAGUCUAAACACUCAUGAUAUAUUUGAUGUUUUAUUUUAUUUUCUUGCUAAGUGCAUGUUGUACAAUAUAGUAAGAAGCUCCUAACAAAAGAGGAAGACAAGAGCAGCGACAAGAAUGACCUACCAGACAGGAAAGGAAAGAAUUCAUUUUCAGGCCCAAAUAAUCAUUACAUGCUAGCUUUCAGGAUUCGGUGUUCAUAUCUGCUCUACUAUAUGUUUUUAGAAAACGACUCUG
rnacentral:lncRNA from 1 species